GAUGAACGCUAGCGGGAGGCUUAACACAUGCAAGUCGAGCGGUAGGGCAGCAAUGCCUGAGAGCGGCGCACGGGUGCGUAACGCGUAUGCAACCUGCCUUAUACAGGGGAAUAGCCCAUGGAAACGUGGAUUAAUGUCCCAUAGGAUUACGGAUUCGCAUGGAUUUGUGAUUAAAACUGAGGUGGUAUAAGAUGGGCAUGCGUCUGAUUAGGUAGUUGGUGAGGUAAUGGCUCACCAAGCCGACGAUCAGUAGGGGUUCUGAGAGGAUUACCCCCCACACUGGUACUGAGACACGGACCAGACUCCUACGGGAGGCAGCAGUGAGGAAUAUUGGUCAAUGGCCGGAAGGCUGAACCAGCCAUCCCGCGUGCAGGAUGACGGCCCUAUGGGUUGUAAACUGCUUUUGUACCUGAAGAAACCUGGUUACGUGUAACCAGUUGCCGGUAAGGUAUGAAUAAGCAUCGGCUAAGUCCGUGCCAGCCGCCGCCGUAAAAC
rnacentral:rRNA from 1 species